AGAUUUGUUAACGCCACCUUGAAUACAACCAAUAUUGUCUGAUCUUAGAAGCUAAGCAGGGUCAGGCCUAGUUAGUAAUUGGCAGAAGCUCUA
rnacentral:rRNA from 1 species